rnacentral:rRNA from 1 species
UAGGGAAUCUUCGGCAAUGGACGGAAGUCUGACCGAGCAACGCCGCGUGAGUGAAGAAGGUUUUCGGAUCGUAAAGCUCUGUUGUAAGAGAAGAACGAGUGUGAGAGUGGAAAGUUCACACUGUGACGGUAUCUUACCAGAAAGGGACGGCUAACUACGUGCCAGCAGCCGCGGUAAUACGUAGGUCCCGAGCGUUGUCCGGAUUUAUUGGGCGUAAAGCGAGCGCAGGCGGUUAGAUAAGUCUGAAGUUAAAGGCUGUGGCUUAACCAUAGUACGCUUUGGAAACUGUUUAACUUGAGUGCAAGAGGGGAGAGUGGAAUUCCAUGUGUAGCGGUGAAAUACGUAGAUAUAUGGAGGAACACCGGUGGCGAAAGCGGCUCUCUGGCUUGUAACUGACGCUGAGGCUCGAAAGCGUGGGGAGCAAACAGGAUUAGAUACCCUGGUAGUCCACGCCGUAAACGAUGAGUGCUAGGUGUUAGACCCUUUCCGGGGUUUAGUGCCGUAGCUAACGCAUUAAGCACUCCGCCUGGGGAGUACGACCGCAAGGUUG